GGCGGGCUCAAGCCAUCAGCGCAAAUGCCACCCCGGUGGCAUCAGGUAAACUGUGCCCAGCGGGCACAUGCAUUUACAGUAACCCUCUGGCAGUCAGGUUUUAAGGGAUACGGCAAUUAACGGGUUAAUCCGAAGCAUCAAGACUUUGAAAUCCCAUACACAGAACAAUAUUCAUUAAGAAAGUGAAAUUAAAUGAUUAAUUCCAGUGUGUGUGCCAAUUUUCAAGACUUUUUAAGCAUGUUAAGGGCCCCAAAAGCCCCCGAGACGUUAGAAAAAAAUAAUAAUAAUAAUAAAAAAUAAUCCUAAGGAAAACAAUAGGGCUCUUCGCCCUCCAGGCUUGAGCCCUAAUGAUAAAUGAAUAUAACAACAAAGUCAAAGUAAUACAUACAAUAAUUUAGCUAUGUUUGCUACAUUUAGGCUAUAUGUUUUAGAUGACUGUUAUUUGGAAUUGUAUGCAGAAAACACUGCAUAUUGUUGAUGGAAACGAACAAUUCAAGAUAAAUAAGGAUUUAUUAACAGAUCUCAAUCAAGAGAUUGACUCAAAUUUAGAGAUACUUAAAGACAGACUAAGAUGAAUCUGAGAGACACCUGGUUGGUGACAAUGCUGGGAAUACCCUAGCUGUGCGUGGAAUACACAUCAGAAAGCAUUCAUUUGUAAAGCGAGUCUGUUGUGAUGACAUGACUGUUGUACAUCAUUGUGUAUGAGUGGCAGACUUGCGUUUCUCGCCAACAGAGAAACUUGCUAAUCAGGGGAGGUCCUGUUUUCUGAGUGAAAUUACCUUUUUAUGAAGGGGACAAGUGGAUUUUGCCAUGAAGACAUGUCUUGUACAGUCCCUGUGACAGGAUCUGUUCUUUAAAGCCCAGGAGAAUGACUCAGAGUUUAUUUUAGUGCAACAUGUUCCUUUAAGCUCAACAUGUUUGGGCUUGUACUUCUGUAAUAAUGAGGAAAUUCCAUGGACCACUGAAGAAAAAAGCCAUACAUUUUAUUAAUGGAAGUAAGGAUAAAGACAAAUCCUAAAGAUUAAUAUUCAAGAAAUGUACACGUUAAGCAUUUGGAAACAGUUAUUCAUCUAUGCUAAAGUUAUUCAACUAUGCAACAACACAAAUGGAAGUUCGAGAAAAAAAAUCAAAACUGUCUUCAGUUGAUAAAAAUUGCCACUCUGUAUAAAUUACAUUUUUGUUGAUUAUCUCUACACACUUUAUGAGGUGCUUCUUCCAGUAUUAAAGGAGUUUCCACGUUGGCACUUAUUGGCUUCUUUCCUUUUUGAAUGUUUAUAUAU
ensembl:lncRNA